rnacentral:rRNA from 1 species
GUAGGUGGCAAGCGUUGUCCGGAAUUAUUGGGCGUAAAGCGCGCGCAGGCGGUCCUUUAAGUCUGAUGUGAAAGCCCACGGCUCAACCGUGGAGGGUCAUUGGAAACUGGGGGACUUGAGUACAGAAGAGGAAAGCGGAAUUCCAAGUGUAGCGGUGAAAUGCGUAGAGAUUUGGAGGAACACCAGUGGCGAAGGCGGCUUUCUGGUCUGUAACUGACGCUGAGGCGCGAAAGCGUGGGGAGCAAACAGGGAUUAGAUACCCUGGUAGUCCACGCCGUAAACGAUGAGUGCUAAGUGUAGGGGGUUUCCGCCCCUUAGUGCUGCAGCUAACGCAUUAAGCACUCCGCCUGGGGAGUACGGCCGCAAGGCUG